rnacentral:rRNA from 1 species
GGUGCUUGCAUCAUGAUUUACAUUUGAGUGAGUGGCGAACUGGUGAGUAACACGUGGGAAACCUGCCCAGAAGCGGGGGAUAACACCUGGAAACAGAUGCUAAUACCGCAUAACAACUUGGACCGCAUGGUCCGAGYUUGAAAGAUGGCUUCGGCUAUCACUUUUGGAUGGUCCCGCGGCGUAUUAGCUAGAUGGUGRGGUAACGGCUCACCAUGGCAAUGAUACGUAGCCGACCUGAGAGGGUAAUCGGCCACAUUGGGACUGAGACACGGCCCAAACUCCUACGGGAGGCAGCAGUAGGGAAUCUUCCACAAUGGACGAAAGUCUGAUGGAGCAACGCCGCGUGAGUGAAGAAGGGUUUCGGCUCGUAAAACUCUGUUGUUAAAGAAGAACAUAUCUGAGAGUAACUGUUCAGGUAUUGACGGUAUUUAACCAGAAAGCCACGGCUAACUACGUGCCAGCAGCCGCGGUAAUACGUAGGUGGCAAGCGUUGUCCGGAUUUAUUGGGCGUAAAGCGAGCGCAGGCGGUUUUUUAAGUCUGAUGUGAAAGCCUUCGGCUCAACCGAAGAAGUGCAUCGGAAACUGGGAAACUUGAGUGCAGAAGAGGACAGUGGAACUCCAUGUGUAGCGGUGAAAUGCGUAGAUAUAUGGAAGAACACCAGUGGCGAAGGCGGCUGUCUGGUCUGUAACUGACGCUGAGGCUCGAAAGUAUGGGUAGCAAACAGGAUUAGAUACCCUGGUAGUCCAUACCGUAAACGAUGAAUGCUAAGUGUUGGAGGGUUUCCGCCCUUCAGUGCUGCAGCUAACGCAUUAAGCAUUCCGCCUGGGGAGUACGGCCGCAAGGCUGAAACUCAAAGGAAUUGACGGGGGCCCGCACAAGCGGUGGAGCAUGUGGUUUAAUUCGAAGCUACGCGAAGAACCUUACCAGGUCUUGACAUACUAUGCAAAUCUAAGAGAUUAGACGUUCCCUUCGGGGACAUGGAUACAGGUGGUGCAUGGUUGUCGUCAGCUCGUGUCGUGAGAUGUUGGGUUAAGUCCCGCAACGAGCGCAACCCUUAUUAUCAGUUGCCAGCAUUAAGUUGGGCACUCUGGUGAGACUGCCGGUGACAACCGGAGGAAGGUGGGGAUGACGUCAAUCAUCAUGCCCCUAUGACUGGGCUAC